rnacentral:rRNA from 1 species
AGCGUAGACGGCAGUGCAAGUCUGAAGUGAAAGCCCGGGGCUCAACCCCGGGACUGCUUUGGAAACUGUGCAGCUAGAGUGUCGGAGAGGCAAGCGGAAUUCCUAGUGUAGCGGUGAAAUGCGUAGAUAUUAGGAGGAACACCAGUGGCGAAGGCGGCUUGCUGGACGAUGACUGACGUUGAGGCUGAAAGCGUGGGGGAGCAAACA